CCCGCCUGCACCGCCGCAGCCUGGCUGCCCUGCUCCGCCACUGCGCCGCCGUGUCCGCCACGAGUGACCCUGUGCUCCAACACAGUGACGGAGUUCUACCGGAGAUUGCUGGUGGACCUGGAGGGUAUUGGCAAGGGAGUGGCAGCCCUGAUCAUCACAGCCAGAUGUCUCGUUCCUGAGCUCCAAGUGUCCUCCCCAGUCCUGCUGUAUGAUGAGUGCCACCUGAAGGUGCCAUAUGAGAGGAAGAUCCUCAUUAGGAAUCCCGGCCACCUUCCUGGCUGCUACGGGCUUAUUCCCCAGAAGGGAGCUGAAGCAGCAGGCUCAAAAGCUUGAGGAGGAGCCAAAACCUUAGAGGAGGAAGAGAGGCGGAAGGAGAAAGAAAGGCUGAAGAAGGAACAGAAGGGUGUCUCUGUUGGGAAGCAACCUCCAAAACUAGUGAAGGGGAAAACCAAGACCCAGGAGAAUAAGGAAACCAAAAUCCCCAAAAAGGAAACCAAAUCCCCAGAGAGGAAGGAAACCAAAAUCCCGGGGAAGAAGGAAACCAAAGCAUCAGAGAGGAAGGAAACUAAAAUCCCAGAGAAGAAAAAAACCAAAAUCCCAGAGAAGAAGGAGACCAAAAUCCCAGAGAAGAAAGAAACCAAGGCCCCAGAGAAGAAGGACACCAAAUCAUCAGAGAAGAAUGAAACCAAAAUCCCAGUGAAGAAGGAAACCAAAAUCCCAGUGAAGAAAGAAACCAAAGCAUGCGAGAGGAAACGAAGCCAAAAUCCCAGAGAAGAGGGAAACCAAAGCCCCAAAGAAGGGGGAACCGAAAGCCCUAAAGAAGGGGGAACCCAAAGACUCAAAGAAGGGGGGAACUGAAAUCCCACAGGACCCAGCUGAGAUGGAGAAGAACUCUUUUUUUUUUAUUCACAGAACUCAUUUUACACAGU